rnacentral:rRNA from 1 species
GACGAACCGUGCGAACGUUGUUCGGAAUCACUGGGCUUAAAGGGCGCGUAGGCGGGCACUCAAGUCUGAUGGUGAAAGCCUCCCGCUUAACGGGAGAAAGUGCCGCGGAGACUGGGUGCCUCGGAGGGGUGUAGGGGGCACGGCGGAACUUCCGGGUGGAGCGGUGAAAUGCGUAGAUAUCAGGAGGAACACCGGCGGUGUAGACGGCUUGCUAGACCACCCCGACGCUGGAGGCACGAAAGCGUGGGUAGCAAACAGG